AGGUACCUUAAAUUAAAAAUGUAACAGUCAAUAAUAUUAUAUGUUUUGAAAUGAGGCAUCUGACGGGUUAGGUCUGUUCCGCGCGCCUAGCAGUAUUUUCAUUUUGGUGACAAUAAUAAGUAUAAGUACUUAUUAUACAUACAGAUCAAAGGAAUCGCUGGAUCUUCUUUAACAGGAGAAAAAAAUAUAUUUUCAUAACUAAAAUAUUAUUAUGUAUCAAUACAUUUGAACAGAAGUUUAUAUUUUGGCCGACCUAACCACUAUAACUUUACUCUCUUAUUAUAUAUUGCCUAGUCAAUUAAUACGUAUUUACUAAAUUCCACACUUGUCGAUUCACAAUAUUAAUGUGUGGGAGUUUCGAGGUAUAUAACGCUGUCGUUUGUACAUUGUUAGUUAUUAAUUAUGAUGUGGAUAUGUAUGUAUAGCAACAACCGGGCCAAGCGAGUUGAUGUGAAGACAAAUCCGGCGUAUAUAUAUGAUGAAAAAUUAUCGAUUAUUGAUUAUAAAUGUACAACUCUUCGACGGGAUAUGCACUAACAGAUGUCACGAAAACAUGCGCCACAGGGAAGCAACGAAAAACGCUGUUACCUAUAGCCAACUCGUCCAUCGCAGCCCGGGCUUNUUACGUCUCUUUUAUUUAUAUUAUACUACAAUACUAACGCUUCUCUUCGGUUGUAUUUGACUAUAAUGAAAUAUUAUAAUGUUAUUAGGAUUUCGGUGGACUCGACACACAUGACCAAACGAUGUUUACCUAACGCUAAUCGCCACCGUGUUUUGUUUCAGGACGUUUACAACAUAUUUGGAUUUCCAAAUGUCCGUACUGCCGGAUGGUNAUCUGUACUGAAUUAGAAAACCAUUUGGGUUCGUGCAGCGUGUUCGGCACGCUUAAGACUCUCGUGACAGCCAAGAGNACACGACCUUAAAUCACGUCCGGCAACGCAGUCUUCUAUAUAUGUACAGUUAAACAUCCCAUUAUGGACACCUCCGAAUAGCUGACUUUUUUGUGUCAACAAACUACAAACUGAAUUCUCUGAAAAGCGGAUGAAAUUUCAAUCACUAUAAGAGUGUCGGUAUUUAGAGGUUUCACUGUAUAUAAUAUAUACUAUUCUUAAUAUAUAUUGUUACUUCGUUACAUACCUAUUUAUAUAUAUACCUAAAUACUUAAUUGCAGCAGGGUUGAGGGUUGCACUGAAAUGUGUCGCCUAUAUGUAUAUAUUUUAUAGGUACUUAUACCAUAUUUUUGUUGUUUGUUUUGUCAGAUAUGCGAAUACAUCAUUAUUUAGAUAGGUAUUCAAUAUAUUAUAAUAUGUAACAAACUGAUAAUAUAUUUAUUAGGUUUAUAAGUUAAAUAUUAUAUAUGUAUACAAUCCUAUGCAGUAUGUGGGGUCGCAGCUGCAGUACUUGAAUAGUUACUGCAGCUUAUAUUGGUGCAGACGAUAAGAAUUGGUCGUGCAAAACGUGCAGUAAAUGGUACAAGCACAGAGAUUCUCUGCGCCGGCACAUUAGAGACGAGUGCGGAAAGAUGCCACGUCACCAGUGCAACAUUUGCCAGGCGUACUUUUAUCAUAGGCACAACUUGAAGACCCAUUCUAUGAGCAAACAUCACAUUUUAAUUUGAACGCGUUUAUCUAUAUAUUGUAUACUAUACUCGAAACGUUUAUAAUAAUAUGUUAUUGAUUUAUACCUAGGUACUAUAUUUUAAAUUCCUGCUUAAUUUAUCUCNCCCGAUAUAGUAAUAUCUNUAUCCAUCGGCUACGGAAAUCCAAUACAUAAUUUCAGGAAAGCUAACAUUUUUAACGCCAAUAUGACCUGGUAACUUCNAUCNCACGCCACUAAAAAUGAAUCUGUUUUUGUUGGGUUAUGAUUUCCGCCUAUCACNUGUGUAUGCAAUGCCGGCGCGAGGGGUGUNCAAAGUCCGACCGCACAGGGCCUCUCAAUUUUUAUUGAUGUUUAUUACGAUUGUAACAAUUAUGUUUUCGUUGUCACUUGUCCAAGAGGUGGGGAGGGAGNCCUAGUUUUUAUAAAUUUCAUAAGGCCUCGCGAAUCAUAGUACCGGCACUGUGUGUAUGUAUGUAAUUGCAAUAUUGUAAUAAUUAUGUACUACUCGGAGUCUAUUGGUAUGUAAUAUUGUGUUCAAACCAUGUAAUAUAAUAUAUUAUACCAUUUACGUAUUAUAUUUUAAUAUUAAUUUUUAAUUGAAUAUACCCAUCUCGAGUUAUCAGGUGUUACGAGACUGCUGUCUGCAGUGUCUUUUACUCCGUGUAUAUUAAUAUCGCAUCUGCACUCUGCAGUGUACUACAUUAUAUUAUUAUACUUGUCGAAAAACAAAAAAAAAAAAA
rnacentral:lncRNA from 1 species